rnacentral:sRNA from 1 species
ACAUUGUCUUUCUCAAAGUAACGGAUUCAGGAGGAGUCCUUUUCUGAGUAGAGUCCACAGAAGAGGUAUUCUAUUGAUGGGCUUAGGUCACGAGCAAGGAUUUGGAGCCCCUUGUUUAAAAUGCAAAGAAAAAUGUGAAGGAUUCGAACUGCACUUCUGGAGAAAAAUAUGUCGUAACUGCAAGUGUGGCCAAGAAGAGCAUGAUGUCCUCUUGAGCAAUGAAGAGGAUCGAAAAGUGGGAAAACUUUUUGAAGACACCAAGUAUACCACUCUGAUUGCAAAACUAAAGUCAGAUGGAAUUCCCAUGUAUAAACGCAAUGUUAUGAUAUUGACGAAUCCAGUUGCUGCCAAGAAGAAUGUCUCCAUCAAUACAGUUACCUAUGAGUGGGCUCCUCCUGUCCAGAAUCAAGCAUUGGUAAAUAAUAUGGGGACAGAGAGUUUCUUUAUUGAAGUUCCUGGAGUAUUUAUUUGGGGCAGUUUCUUUGAUGACCUAAUCAACUUCACACGUCCCAGAUCUGUUAUUCUUCCGGGGUUCUCAUUACUUUGACUUCUGAUUCCUGUUCUAGUCUUUUGAAUGUAAGACUAGAUACUUCAUAAAAUUUUUCCAACUCCCUAGAUAUGUUUACCUUUUUGAGGGAAUGGUCUAACGUUCUUAAUAAUUAGAUGGAAAUCAGAUGUUUUAUAUCAAUCUAGUAACUCUUCUAGCUUAGUCUUGAGAGGAUUUAUCUUAAGAUGGUAAAGAAGAGAAUUUUUGUCAUAGUUUAGAACUGAAAAAAAUAUUCAACAUUAUCUUUGUGUUUUUUUCAUUUCCUUUAUUAAUACUAUAUAAGACCAAAAAGAUCACAGUUUUAUAUCAAGCUCCUUCCACUAUUAUAACAACCAAAUGAAACAUUUGGAAGUCUUUUAAGGUUAAAUCAUUAAAGUGAAUUUUGCGAUAUCAUUUUUUAUGUGAUAAAAAUGUUCCUGGUCCUACAGACCAUUCCAAACAUGUCUGCCUAAAAGUUUGUGUUUUCUUUCAAUUGUACAUUUGUUUAUUUAGCUUAAGUAAACAGUAGUAACUCAGAUCUUACAAACUGAAAAAAUAUAUAAUUUCAUGGAGAAAAAGUGUUACUUUUUACCCAACUAAAUCUAUUUAGUGUACCGUUUUUGAGUUUUAACUUCUUAAUAUACUG